AACAAUGUCUUUUAUAAUAGACACCCAGAGUCACGAUUCGUCUUGGUCUUAGAAAAUCCUGUUUCGGCAGUUUUUUUUAGGCAGUGGACGUAUAUAGUUUACUUAAUCGUUUACUGUACGUUGAAAUACUAAUACUAUUUCACUGUCGUGCUCGCGGUUGAUCUUAGAUAAAUAUAUUUCUUUUUCAUAAAAGAAAGUGGGUGGAUCUUCCCUGGAAGUACGAUCAAUGUACUUAUGAUUAGAUCCUCUUCACGCACAUAC
rfam:Saccharomyces kudriavzevii IFO 1802 unplaced genomic scaffold c1752, whole genome shotgun sequence.